rnacentral:rRNA from 1 species
AUAUCAAUAAGCGGAGGAAAAGAAACCAACAGGGAUUGCCUCAGUAACGGCGAGUGAAGCGGCAAAAGCUCAAAUUUGAAAUCUAGCACCUUCGGUGUUCGAGUUGUAAUUUGAAGAUGGUAACCUUGGGUUUGGCUCUUGUCUAUGUUCCUUGGAACAGGACGUCAUAGAGGGUGAGAAUCCCGUCUGAUGAGAUGCCCAUUCCUAUGUAAGGUGCUAUCGAAGAGUCGAGUUGUUUGGGAAUGCAGCUCUAAGUGGGUGGUAAAUUCCAUCUAAAGCUAAAUAUUGGCGAGAGACCGAUAGCGAACAAGUACAGUGAUGGAAAGAUGAAAAGAACUUUGAAAAGAGAGUGAAAAAGUACGUGAAAUUGUUGAAAGGGAAGGGCAUUAGAUCAGACUUGGUGUUUUACGAUUAUCUUCUCUUCUUGAGUUGUGCACUCGUAUUUCACUGGGCCAGCAUCGAUUCGGAUGGCAAGAUAAUGGCAGUUGAAUGUGGCUUCACUUCGGUGGAGUGUUAUAGCUUCUGCUGAUAUUGCCUGUCUGGAUCGAGGGCUGCGUCUUUUGACUAGGAUGCUGGCGUAAUGAUCUAAUGCCGCCCGUCUUGAAACACGGAC